AUCUUUCUUUGCUUCCCUAUUCAGUGAAUCACACAGUACAACAAAGAAUAAAAAGGAAGAGAAAAAAUAAAAUUUGGCAAAAAUUAUCCAAUAAAUUAAUUGUGUCUGAAAUUACAUUUUUCAUAUCUCUAGUCAUUCACAUCUUCAGGAAAGGGAAGUACCUCUUCUCAUGUCUGGUCCAUGACAAGUUUGGCUAAUACAUAGACAUGGAAUUAAUUUGGGGGUUUGUUUCCUCCAUUCCUCCAAUUUACACUUAUAUCCAUUAGGAAUGUUGGUUUGUUUUUUUGGUUUUUUGGUUUCGCUUACUUCAUUUUGUAUCUGUUCCUCUGUUUUCUCAUGAAUCUCUAAAAUUUUCAUAUUCAUUCUUUAUUCCAUAAUGUUCAGUAAUAUUCUUUCACAUGCACAUACCACCACUUGUUUGACCAUUUCCCAAAUGAGGAGUUUCUACUUUUUCUGCAUGUUCUUUGCUUGACAAAAAAGUACUGCCAUAAAUAUUUUGUUGCCUAAAGAAUCUUACUUUUUGUUUUUGUCCUUUCUCGCAAACUUAGCUGUGAGAUUUCUGGGUCAAAAGGUAUGGACAUUUAGUUAGUUUUUUUUUUAACAUAAUUAUAAAUUACCUUACAGAAUGAUUGGACUAAUUCAUAGUUCUUCCAAUUGUGUUUUAAUUUGUCCAGCUUUCCACAGUCACUUUUGCUGAUCAGCUGUUUCAAUUGAAUCUGAUUCUUUGUGACCCCAUUUGGGGUUUUCUUGACAAAGAUUUUGGAGUGGUCCAGCUCAUUUUAUGGAUGAGGAACUGAGGCGAAGAGAGUUAAAUGAUUUUCUCAGAGUCACACAGCCGAGCAUCUGAAAGGAACAUCUUCCGCCUGUGUCAGCAUUUCCCAUUGUUCUGGAGGUGGGUACCCCAAUCUUUCUCUAAGCAUCUCUGAGUCUACCACAAUCCCUUAUUUUUAGAAAGCUGUGUCCCAACCAUCUGGAGGGAGAAGUCCCUCCCUUUCAUUACUGCACACCUAGAAGAGAAACUUGUCAUCCAUACUAUUCAGUUAUUGUUAUUUAUUAUCAUCAUUAAUACUAUUGUAAUUUAAUAACAAGACACAUUUGUCUUCAAUUUUUUCUUAAUAGUCGGUUUUUCUGCUUUCUUCAACCAUCCUGUUUACCAAAUGAAAAAUAUAAGUUACUCUUAAAGGGACAGGAUGAGGGGCGGAGAGAGGCUGAGUAGGUGAGACUUACUUAGGUGGAAUCAUGUGUACGAUCAAUCCAAACUCGCCAUGUGAACCACAACCACUGUAUUUAUAGUGCAGUGAAUCUUCUAUAGAGAUGAAAAGUCCCAACACCAGAAAGCAGUGCUGCAUGGUGAAUAAUCCGAAGACAGAAAAACCACCAAAGGGUAUUCUUUGAAGAAAAAUACCUACUUGGCCCAUGAAGGAUCUGACCACAUAUCAUUAUGAGUCAUAGUAAAAUCGUUCC
rnacentral:lncRNA from 1 species